AUAGAGGUGAUGGAGUUCACCUUAACCGCUUAAUGCUAAUGACUCCUACA
rnacentral:ncRNA from 1 species